UACGUAUGGAGCAAGCGUUAUCCGGAUUUACUGGGCGUAAAGGGAGUGUAGGUGGCCAGGCAAGUCAGAAGUGAAAGCCCGGGGCUCAACCCCGGGACUGCUUUUGAAACUGCAGGGCUAGAGUGCAGGAGGGGCAAGUGGAAUUCCUAGUGUAGCGGUGAAAUGCGUAGAUAUUAGGAGGAACACCAGUGGCGAAGGCGGCUUGCUGGACUGUAACUGACACUGAGGCUCGAAAGCGUGGGGAGCAAACAGG
rnacentral:rRNA from 1 species